GGAGAGGCUGUUUUAACAGCCACUUACCUAAUAAAUAAAAUGCCUU
rfam:Morus notabilis contig12825, whole genome shotgun sequence.